GCCGGGCACGGUGGCUCAUGCCUGUAAUCCCAGCACUUUGGGAGGCUGAGGCAGGCGGAUCACUGGAGGUCGGGAGUUCGAGACCAGCCUGACCAACACAGAGAAACCCUGUCUCUA
rfam:Gorilla gorilla gorilla genomic chromosome, chr5, whole genome shotgun sequence